rnacentral:rRNA from 1 species
CCUACGGGUGGCAGCAGUGGGGAAUAUUGCACAAUGGGCGCAAGCCUGAUGCAGCCAUGCCGCGUGUAUGAAGAAGGCCUUCGGGUUGUAAAGUACUUCCAGCGGGGAGGAAGGGAGUAAGGUUAAUAACCUUAUUCAUUGACGUUACCCGCAGAAGAAGCACCGGCUAACUCCGUGCCAGCAGCCGCGGUAAUACGGAGGGUGCAAGCGUUAAUCGGAAUUACUGGGCGUAAAGCGCACGCAGGCGGUCUGUCAAGUCGGAUGUGAAAUCCCCGGGCUCAACCUGGGAACUGCAUUCGAAACUGGCAGGCUAGAGUCUUGUAGAGGGGGGUAGAAUUCCAUGCGUAGCGGUGAAAUGCGUAGAGAUGUGGAGGAAUACCGGUGGCGAAGGCGGCCCCCUGGACAAAGACUGACGCUCAGGUGCGAAAGCGUGGGGAGCAAACAGGAUUAGAUACCCCGGUAGUC